GUCAUCUUGUUAAAGGACAGACAAUGGCUGAUUUAUUUCAAGAAGCUUUCAGUACAGCUGCAUCAGAUGAGCCCGUAGUUGAAUGUUCCUGCAGACAGCCUAGAGUUGAAUUUCAUCAGAGAUUGCAACAAGUGAUGCAGACUGAAAAAGAAAUAAGUAUGGAGUUCUUUAAGCGAAUGCAAGCAGAAUGGAGUUCCUCGCUAUGAAUCCAAGUUUAUGGAUGUGC